ensembl:snRNA U6 U6 spliceosomal RNA
GUGCUUGCUUCGGCAGCUCAUAUACUCAAUUGGAAUGGUACAGAGACGAUCAGCAUGGCCUCUGUGCUGUGCAAGGAUGACAUGCAAAUUCAUGACGUGUUCCAUAUUUUU